AUUGAACGCUGGCGGCAUGCCUUACACAUGCAAGUCGAACGGUAACGGGCCUUCGGGUGCCGACGAGUGGCGAACGGGUGAGUAAUGUAUCGGAACGUACCUUUCAGUGGGGGAUAACGUAGCGAAAGUUACGCUAAUACCGCAUAUUCUGUGAGCAGGAAAGCAGGGGAUCGCAAGACCUUGCGCUGAUUGAGCGGCCGAUAUCAGAUUAGAUAGUUGGUGAGGUAAAAGCUCACCAAGGCGACGAUCUGUAGCGGGUCUGAGAGGAUGAUCCGCCACACUGGAACUGAGACACGGUCCAGAAUCCUACGGGAGGCAGCAGUGGGGAAUUUUGGACAAUGGGGGCAACCCUGCUCCAGCCAUGCCGCGUGAGUGAAGAAGACCUUCGGGUUGUAAAGCUCUUUCGGCCGGGAAGAAAUCGUAUCAGCUAAUACCUGGUGCGGAUGACGGUACCGGCAUAAGAAGCACCGGCUAACUACGUGCCAGCCGCCGCGGUAAAAC
rnacentral:rRNA from 1 species